rnacentral:rRNA from 1 species
ACGUUAGCGGCGGACGGGUGAGUAACACGUGGGUAACCUACCUAUAAGACUGGGAUAACUUCGGGAAACCGGAGCUAAUACCGGAUAAUAUUUCGAACCGCAUGGUUCGAUAGUGAAAGAUGGUUUUGCUAUCACUUAUAGAUGGACCCGCGCCGUAUUAGCUAGUCGGUAAGGUAACGGCUUACCAAGGCGACGAUACGUAGCCGACCUGAGAGGGUGAUCGGCCACACUGGAACUGAGACACGGUCCAGACUCCUACGGGAGGCAGCAGAU